AUUACCGCGGCUGCUGGCACGUAGUUAGCCGGGGCUUCUUAGUCAGGUGCCGUCAUCUUCGUCCCUGCUGAUAGAGCUUUACGUACCGAAGUACUUCUUCACUCACGCGGCGUCGCUGCAUCAGGGUUUCCCCCAUUGUGCAAUAUUCCCCACUGCUGCCUCCCGUAGG
rnacentral:rRNA from 1 species